GCCGGCGUGGCGCAAUUGGUUUAGCGCGUCAGACUUUUAAUCUGAAUGUUGCGAGUUCGAGUCUCGCCGUUGGCG